rnacentral:rRNA from 1 species
UACGGAGGGUGCAAGCGUUAUUCGGAUUUACUGGGCGUAAAGGGCGCGUAGGCGGCUUGAUAAGUCAGUCGUGAAAGCCCGGGGCUCAACCCCGGAAGUGCGAUUGAAACUAUUUGGCUUGAGUAUGGUAGAGGGAAGUGGAAUUCCAGGUGUAGCGGUGAAAUGCGUAGAUAUCUGGAGGAACACCGGUGGCGAAGGCGACUUCCUGGACCAAUACUGACGCUGAUGCGCGAAGGUGUGGGUAGCAAACAGGAUUAGAUACCCUGGUAGUCCACACAGUAAACGGUGAUCACUAGGUGUUGCGGGUAUUGACCCCUGCAGUGCCGGAGCUAACGCAUUAAGUGAUCCGCCUGGGGAGUACGGUCGCAAGAUUAAA